UUUUUCUAAUUAGUAGAGAAUAAAUUUGUUGCUAUGUGGAUAUAAGCGAUUGUCGCACUAUGUAAAUCUUUGUGUUUCACUCUUUUAAUUUUUUGGAGAGUUUUUUUUCCCUUUUGUUUUCCCAAACAUUGGUUUUUACUCUUUACAGGGGUGUUGUUUCGUAUUAUUUGUUAACAUAAUGUAGCUUUUUAAUAUAACUAUUGAUAGUUCAAUAUAUGCUCUUGAUAAAUUAUUAUAUAUUUUAUGACACUGGCGGAUGCAUAUUACACUUUUUUUGCGUUUAAUGAAAAUUUAGAAGAAAAUAUUUGUCAAGUAGGACCCAGAGUGCUAUAAAUCAUCAUAUUCGUACGAGUGUUUUAAAAAUUGGUGUGGUCCGUAUAAGGUUGAUGCUCUAAACAAUUAAAAUAAGGUGUAUCUUCAAAUAGUGCCGAAAUAUGUUGUUUUAGUGUUAGAAAUUUUUAUGAUAACCUGAAAAUUUAUUUUCAUUUUAAUUAUAAAAUUUAAAUAUUAAAAAAUAAUGUAGAUAGAGUAAAUCUAUAAAUACUUAAAAAACUAGAAAAUUGACGGCCUAGAUAACUCAUUAUAAGAUGCACUAUUUCCAAGACUUAAAAUUUAUUUUUUCUCUUGUCCAUAAAUCUUGAGGUUUAGAUGAUCGAAUUGCGGAUUUUAAAAAACCGGGACAACAUCUUCUUAUGAAUUUUUAAAAGGUGUCUUAAUUUGAUUGUUUAGAAAGGUGUCUUAAUUUGAUUGUUUAGAAACUCGCCCUUAUAUAAACUUUUUCCUUUAAAAAUUGGAAUUGAGUCGCUAGAGUCAAAAUCAUUGAUCCCAAUCCAAAUUGGCAAUCCCACUAAAAUUAUAAGAAAAAAUAAACAAACUAAAAACAACAUAAAAACGUUGGAUUAAAAGAAAAGGUGCAGUUUGCGUACGGAUGCAUCUGUAGAUCUAGAGGUAAAGUGUACUUCCAAAUUUUAUCAUGGUAUAUAAUUUUGAUGUAAAAUGUUCUUAGAAUUAUCUCAAAAUCUAUUUUUAUUAAAUUUUAAAUUUAAAAAAUGGUUAAAAUCAAGUAGAUCUAUAAACAUAUGAA
rnacentral:lncRNA from 1 species